rnacentral:rRNA from 1 species
AUUGAACGCUGGCGGCAUGCCUUACACAUGCAAGUCGAACGGCAGCACGGGAGCAAUCCUGGUGGCGAGUGGCGAACGGGUGAGUAAGGUAUCGGAACGUGCCCAGUCGUGGGGGAUAACGUAGCAAAAGUUACGCUAAUACCGCAUACGAGCUAUGGAUGAAAGCGGGGGAUCGCAAGACCUCGCGCGAUUGGAGCGGCCGAUUUCAGAUUAGGUAGUUGGUGGGGUAAAGGCUCACCAAGCCGACGAUCUGUAGCUGGUCUGAGAGGACGACCAGCCACACUGGGACUGGGACACGGCCCAGACUCCUACGGGAGGCAGCAGUGGGGAAUUUUGGACAAUGGGCGAAAGCCUGAUCCAGCCAUGCCGCGUGCAGGAUGAAGGCCUUCGGGUUGUAAACUGCUCUUGUACGGAACGAAAAGGUUUGGGCUAAUAAGCUGAGCUCAUGACGGUACCGUAAGAAUAAGCACCGGCUAACUACGUGCCAGCAGCCGCCGUAA